rnacentral:misc_RNA from 1 species
UAAUAAAGUGUUUUAUGGCACUUUUUAAAAAUCCAUAUCCACCUUGUGUGCAAUGUUAGAUCUCGUCAAUCUUGGCGAGGUUUUUUAUACAUCAACUCAUUCUUUAACUAAUUUGUCUGAAACAUGUUACGAAUAUGUAUUUAUUUACUUAAUUCAAAACA